rnacentral:rRNA from 1 species
AACGCUGAAGGAGGAGCUUGCUCUUCUGGAAGAGUUGCGAACGGGUGAGUAACGCGUAGGUAACCUGCCUCUUAGCGGGGGAUAACUAUUGGAAACGAUAGCUAAUACCGCAUAAAAGUCGACAUUGCAUGAUGUUGACUUGAAAGGUGCAAUUGCAUCACUAAGAGAUGGACCUGCGUUGUAUUAGCUAGUUGGUGAGGUAACGGCUCACCAAGGCGACGAUACAUAGCCGACCUGAGAGGGUGAUCGGCCACACUGGGACUGAGACACGGCCCAGACUCCUACGGGAGGCAGCAGUAGGGAAUCUUCGGCAAUGGGGGCAACCCUGACCGAGCAACGCCGCGUGAGUGAAGAAGGUUUUCGGAUCGUAAAGCUCUGUUGUAAGAGAAGAACGAGUGUGAGAGUGGAAAAUUCACGCUGUGACGGUAUCUUACCAGAAAGGGACGGCUAACUACGUGCCAGCAGCCGCGGUAAUACGUAGGUCCCGAGCGUUAUCCGGAUUUAUUGGGCGUAAAGCGAGCGCAGGCGGUUAGAUAAGUCUGAAGUUAAAGGCUGUGGCUUAACCAUAGUACGCUUUGGAAACUGUUUAACUUGAGUGCAGAAGGGGAGAGUGGAAUUCCAUGUG